rnacentral:rRNA from 1 species
AGUGAACGCUGGCGGUAGGCCUAACACAUGCAAGUCGAACGGCAGCACAGUAAGAGCUUGCUCUUACGGGUGGCGAGUGGCGGACGGGUGAGGAAUACAUCGGAAUCUACUUUUUCGUGGGGGAUAACGUAGGGAAACUUACGCUAAUACCGCAUACGCCCUACGGGUGAAAUCAGGGGAUCUUCGGACCUUUCGUGUCUGAAUGGGCUGAUGUCGGAUUAGCUAGUUGGCGGGGUAAAGGCCCACCAAGGCGACGAUCCGUAGCUGGUCUGAGAGGAUGGUCAGCGACACUAGAACUGAGACGCGGUCGAGAAUCCUACGGGAGGCAGCAGUGGGGAAUAUUGGACAAUGGGCGCAAGCCGGAUCCAGCCAUACCGCGUGGGUGAAGAAGGCCUUCGGGUUGUAAAGCCCUUUUGUUGGGAAAGAAAAGCAGCAGGUUAAUACGCCGCUGUUCUGACGGUACCCAAAUAAUAAGCACCGGCUAACUUCGUG